CAAGAUGUAGCUUAAUUAAAGCAUCUAAUUUACACCUAGAAGAUUUCACAUGUUAUGAACAUCUUGA
rnacentral:tRNA from 2 species